GCACAAGCGGUGGAGCAUGUGGUUUAAUUCGACGCAACGCGAAGAACCUUACCUGGGCUCGAAAUGGAGUGGACAGGAGUAGAAAUAUUCCCUCCCCGCAAGGGGCUGCUCUAUAGGUGCUGCAUGGCUGUCGUCAGCUCGUGUCGUGAGAUGUUGGGUUAAGUCCCGCAACGAGCGCAACCCUUAUUACCAGUUGCCAUCAUUAAGUUGGGCACUCAGGUGAGACCGCCUCGGAUAACGGGGAGGAAGGCGGGGAUGACGUCAAGUCCUCAUGGCCUUUAUGUCCAGGGCUACACACGUGCUACAAUGGCCGGUACAAACCGUCGCAAACCCGUGAGGGGGAGCUAAUCGGAAAAAGCCGGCCUCAGUUCGGAUUGUAGUCUGCAACUCGACUACAUGAAGCUGGAAUCGCUAGUAAUCGCGGAUCAGAAUGCCGCGGUGAAUACGUUCCCGGGC
rnacentral:rRNA from 1 species